CAUUCAUGAGACUAUUAUGGAAGUAGCUUGUAAUGUAGUCUAGAUGUGUUUUUUUUUCCAAAUUAAAAGUAAUCUGACCAAAAGUCUCAACAGAUAAUGUUUUGUAAGCUUUAAUUUUCUAAACCCUGCCCAUACAUUAUUUUAAACCAAACAGAAAAUUUAUCUGAGAGGUCACAUGAAAGAGGUCCUCUCACUUAAAGGUAAACAGAGCCAGCAUCUCUGCUUUUGCACUAUUUUUCAAAUAGUUACCAUCCUUUAAAAAUUCUGAAUUCCAGAGAUAAUAUGUAUAGUCUGUUUUCUUAAUCAUUAAAUAUUCAAGCUCCUGUAGCCGCAAAGGAAAAUGAUCUCCAUUAAAAGGUAAUUUGAGCCUCUCUUUAGAAAGAAACAAAAUUCUAACGAGUCACAAUUUCUCAUAUUUUUGUAACAAUGAUUAUGGAGCAUCUAGAUUACUAGGGUACCUUGUCAAUGCAGAGAGGGGCAACAAAGGUCUGCCAUAUUCUGCUAAGAUCUGCUAACAAAAUGUUCUAGCUGUUUUGCACUGUCAGAGGGUAUGUAAGCCAGUUUUUCUGGUUGCAAAGAAAUUAUUGGAUGGAAGAGAGCUGGAAUUUUAUAAAUGGGAUGGAGAUCUUUCUGAAAUGCUAAAGAAUGUGAAGGAGAAGUUGAACAAAGUUGCUGAGGGCUGGUCUCGUCCAGAGAAAAAUCAGUGCUUGAGAGAAACAGCAAAGUCUUUCAAGUACUCUGAAAAUAUUGUUCGGUUGAUUAUAAAAUAAUAUAUCCAUUGAUGAUGGAAUUGUAAAGUACUAUAAACUUAUAUAAUGUUAGUUUAGCUUUCUGAAUUUUUCUUAUGAUAUGUACAAGUUGCUUCGUUAAUUCUUUUGAAUAAUUUUUUUUGAGUUUCUUUUGUAUUGAUGGAAAAUAUCAGAUUGAUGACGCAAAAUAUUCAAGGUGCCAAUCUCUAUAUUCUUAUA